rnacentral:rRNA from 1 species
CAGAACGAACGCUGGCGGCGCGUUUAAGCAUGCAAGUCGAGCGGCAAGGGCCUUCGGGCCCUAGAGCGGCGGACGGGUGAGUAACACGUGGACAAUCUGCCCCCCGGCCCGGGAUAGCCCAGGGAAACCUGGAUUAAUACCGGAUGAGACGGGACCCGCGAUGGCGGGAUCCGGGAAAGGCGCUGCGGCGCCGCCGGGGGAUGAGUCUGCGUCCCAUUAGCUAGACGGCGGGGUAACGGCCCACCGUGGCGACGAUGGGUAGCCGGCCUGAGAGGGUGGACGGCCACAUUGGAACUGAGACACGGUCCAGACUCCUACGGGAGGCAGCAGCUAAGAAUCUUCCGCAAUGGGCGAAAGCCUGACGGAGCCGACGCCGCGUGAACGAAGAAGGCCGUGAGGUUGUAAAGUUCUUUUCGGGAGGGGGAACAACCGUGGCAGGGAAUGGCCGCGGGAUGACGUGAAUCCCGGAAUAAGCCCCGGCUAACUACGUGCCAGCCGCUGC